UGGGGAAUAUUGGACAAUGGGCGAAAGCCUGAUCCAGCCAUGCCGCGUGUGUGAAGAAGGUCUUCGGAUUGUAAAGCACUUUAAGUUGGGAGGAAGGGCAGUAAGCGAAUACCUUGCUGUUUUGACGUUACCGACAGAAUAAGCACCGGCUAACUCUGUGCCAGCAGCCGCGGUAAUACAGAGGGUGCAAGCGUUAAUCGGAAUUACUGGGCGUAAAGCGCGCGUAGGUGGUUCGUUAAGUUGAAUGUGAAAGCCCCGGGCUCAACCUGGGAACUGCAUCCAAAACUGGCGAGCUAGAGUAGGGCAGAGGGUGGUUGAAUUUCCUGUGUAGCGGUGAAAUGCGUAGAUAUAGGAAGGAACACCAGUGGCGAAGGCGACCACCUGGGCUCAUACUGACACUGAGGUGCGAAAGAGUGGGGAGCAAACAGG
rnacentral:rRNA from 1 species